GCCUAUGGCCAUACCAGUCUGAAAGUGCCUGAUCUCGUCAGAUCUCAGAAGUCAUGCAGACUUGGGCCUGUUUAGUAAUUGUAUGGAAAACAUGGCAUAUUUUUAGAAUAGCUUGGCACCCAAUGCA